rnacentral:misc_RNA from 1 species
CAGAGUACCGGUGCCUUCGGGCGCCUACUCCCACCCUUUGUGAACUUAAUUCUGUUGCUUUGGCGGGCCAGGUGCCCAGGCGCCGCCGGCCUUUUGGCUGGAGAGCGUCCGCCAGAGGACCAUUCAAACACUGCUCACGGUGGCAUCUGAGUGAAACGAAAAUGAAUCA